rnacentral:rRNA from 1 species
GUACAACUUUCAACAACGGAUCUCUUGGCUCUCGCAUCGAUGAAGAACGCAGCGAAAUGCGAUAAGUAAUGUGAAUUGCAGAAUUCAGUGAAUCAUCGAGUUUUUGAACGCAUCUUGCGCUCCUUCCGAGGAGUAUGCCUGUUUGAGUGUCA